rnacentral:lncRNA from 1 species
UAUCAGUCAAAAUCAAGAAAAUUUAACAUUUAUUAGAUAAGGGGUUCUUACAUUGGCAUUGCCCCUAUUCUAAUAUAUUGAUGCACGGAUAUGUGCAAACACAAGUAUCGACAAAUUUACAACGUCCAUCUGCACGAACUCCUCUUUUCCCUUUGCAGGCGCUUCUGCAUGUCGCCAAAUAACAUUGACCAUUUCCAAGGUCAAUUGUCUCCUCACAAGCUUUAACACCUCCAUGACCUGCUGUACCAGAAAAAAUAAAUUACAAAAUGGACAGUAUUUUUCAUUUUUAAUAAAGUUCAUCGACCAAAGAAGAUUUAAGCACAUUUGUACCUCCACAGACGAUAAGUAGAAACAGGAGCAUAGCAGACACACCUAAAAACUUCAUGCUAUUUUUUUCUUUCUUCACAAUAGUGUAGGUUAGAUGUGUUUUCAG